AGCAGCCGCGGUAAUUCCAGCUCCAAUAGCGUAUAUUAAAGUUGUUGCAGUUAAAAAGCUCGUAGUUGAAUUUCGGGACCACUAUGUCGGUCGUGCUUCGGUACGUACUGUCAUUAUUGGUUUCUCCCUUCUGAAGAACCUUGAUGUCAUUAAUUUGGUGUCUUGGGGAAUCAGGACUGUUACUUUGAAAAAAUUAGAGUGUUUAAAGCAGGCUCGCGCUUGAAUACAUUAGCAUGGAAUAAUGAAAUAGGACGUUUGAUUCUAUUUUGUUGGUUUCUAGGAUCGACGUAAUGAUUAAUAGGGAUAGUUGGGGGCAUUAGUAUUCAAUUGUCAGAGGUGAAAUUCUUGGAUUUAUUGAAGACUAACUACUGCGAAAGCAUUUGCCAAGGAUGUUUUCAUUAAUCAAGAACGAAAGUUAGGGGAUCGAAGACGAUCAGAUACCGUCGUAGUCUUAACCAUAAACUAUGCCGACUAGGGAUCGGAUGAUGUUAAUUUUUUAAUGACUCAUUCGGCGCCUUACG
rnacentral:rRNA from 1 species